AUGGCCGAUUUGGAUCUCCAGAAGAAGAUGGAGGAGGCGGCUGCCGAGCGCAACAACAUCGCCAAGGCCCUGCUCGGGAUUCAGAAGAGCCUGGAUCAGAUCGCACCGGCGGUGGCGAAGAUGGAGCCGGCGCUCGCCUCACUCGAGCCGGUGGUCCAUGAUCUCGCGGCCUGGCGUCCUGGCGUGGACACCGUCGUGGGGCAGCUACAAGCGGAUCUGGGCGACAUCCGCGCCCAACUGGAAAAGAUCGCGCUCCACACCAACACCACCGACAAGGCCGACCAGUCCUCGACGCCGGCAACGGCGGACGCGCCGAAGCUCGGGGCGGACCACAGUGGCGACGGCUACGGGCCCGCUGGCCACCGCAGGACACCUUUUCCACGGGCACUGGUUGGGGGAGGGCCUCUCCUCCCCACGCCGGUCCCGGACAAUGGUACGACGCGAACACCUCCCCGUACCCCUUUUCCAACUAUUCCAAUUCCUCCACCACCACCAUUAGAAUUUGGAAACGGCUUGCUGACUGCAACUCCUUCUCGCUACCAACACAAUCAUGUUGAUUGCCAUGGUUUUGAUGGCGAAAAUCCUACGAGGUGGAGGAUCCAUUGCGAAGCUUAUUUUCGGGUGUGCGGGAUUGAUCCACUGGUUUGGACUGAUACAGCCGUUGUCCAUUUCAUGGGGGCAGCGGCAUUGUGGCUGGAAUGGUCGCAAAUGCAUCUCAAAAGCCCUUGGGAGUCCUUUUGUUCCUCAGUGUUAGAUAAGUUUGGGAGGUCCGAGUUCCAGCACCUAUUGCGUCGCUUUGCUAAAGUUAAACAAACUGGAACCGUGCUAGAAUAUGCAGAACAAUUCAAUGUUAUUAUGCAUAGUCUCCUAGCGCAUCACAGUUCGUGGGAUCCCCUGUUUUUCACUACUCAAUUUCUAGAAGGACUGUCGCAUGAGAUUAAGAUUGCUGUUAUGUUGCAUCGUCUCCAAGAUUUGGAAACUGCUGUUUCUCUGGCUGCCCUGCAGGAAGAGGUGGUCGAUAUGAUACGGCAGGAGCAAGAGGUGGUAGCUGGGUAUCAUCAUGCCAGCGCGUCGCCGCGCGGUGGGCGCUACACAACCAAGGCACCCACGGCGCUGCCCCUGAGCUCUUCGGUAGCUUCGCCAGGCGGUCGGUCGGGCAAUUCUCUGCCAUCCCCCACACCGCUCGACACCAGGCGCGGACUGGAUAUCGCCAAGACCAUGGGCACAUCGACGGAAGACAAGCUCAAGGCUCUCCGGCCAUUCAGGAAGGCGCGGGGGUUAUGUUUUACCUGUGGUGAGCGAUGGGGACCCGACCAUAAGUGUGCAUCCACAGUGCAGUUACACAUUGUGGAGGAAUUGGUGGGGAUGCUAUCGCCCCCACCGUCACCUGAACCGCCGACUAACCAAUUGGAAAGCUCAGAAGAUGAUCUGUGUCUCCUCUCAACAGCAGCUAUCAGUGGUACAGAAGCUCCGAAGGCCUUCCGACUGAAUGGGAAGAUAGGGAAUCAGAUCUUGCUCAUGCUUGUGGAUUCAGGAAGCUCUCACAGUUUUAUCAACAGUGAAGUGGCAGGAGAAUGGCCUGGUGUGCAACCCAUGCAACACAACCUUAAGGUGAAAGUGGCAGAUGGUGCAAUCACAGUAUGCGACCGAGAGCUGCCAGGGUGUGAAUAUACCAUCCAAGGUGUGUCUUUCCGAUCCAGAUUCAAGCUGUUUCCGCUGGACUGCUAUGAUGUAAUUCUUGGGAUGGACUGGCUCGAAUCAAGGGGACCAAUGGCUGUCAAUUGGACAGCGAAACACAUGUCCUUUGUGCAUCAAGGGGAAAAGCUACAGCUGCAAGGGAUUGGGCAGAAGGAGGUGCUAUGUCAAGCCAUAUCAUCCGCACAGAUCAGUUUGCUGCAGGCACGCACUGACAUAGUACAUACCCUGUUAGUGGCAGAAGUGAAACCAGAUACAGAGCAACAAGAAGUUCCAAUGCCCAUUCAGCAGCUACUCGAGGAGUUCUCGGAGUUGUUUGAUGAGCCAAAAGGGCUGCCUCCAGCGCGAGAAUUUGACCACGCUAUCGAGUUGAUUCCCGGAGCCCAGCCAGUCAACGUCCGACCGUACAGAUACAACCCAGCCCAAAAGGACGAGAUUGAAGCCCAGGUUCUGGAAAUGCUGAAGCAAGGGAUAAUCCAAGUCAGCCAUAGCCCGUUUUCGUCGCUGGUCCUUUUGGUGCAGAAGAAAGAUGGGGACUGGAGAUUCUGUAUUGACUUCCGGCAUCUGAAUGCGAUUACGGUCAAGACAAGAUACCCUAUACCAAUCAUUGAAGAGCUCCUCGACGAGCUGUAUGGCUCUCAAAUCUCACCAGCUUGGAUUUAA
rnacentral:rRNA from 1 species